rnacentral:rRNA from 1 species
UACGUAGGGGGGCAAGCGUUGUCCGGAAUCAUUGGGCGUAAAGCGCGCGUAGGCGGCCCGGUAAGUCCGCUGUAAAAGUCCAGGGCUCAACCCUGGAAAGCCGGUGGAUACUGUCGGGCUAGAGUCCGGAAGAGGCGAGUGGAAUUCCUGGUGUAGCGGUGGAAUGCGCAGAUAUCAGGAGGAACACCGAUGGCGAAGGCAGCUCGCUGGGACGGUACUGACGCUGAGACGCGAAAGCGUGGGGAGCGAACAGG